rnacentral:rRNA from 1 species
CCUACGGGAGGCAGCAGUGAGGAAUCUUGGUCAAUGGGCGCGAGCCUGAACCAGCCAAGCAGCGUGAAGGAUGACUGCCCUACGGGCUGUAAACUUCGUUUAUAAAGGAAUAAAGUGAGGCACGUGUGCCUUUUCGUAUGUACUUUAUGUAUAAGGAUCGGCUAACCUCGUGCCAGAAGCCGCGGUAAUACGGUGGGUCGGAGCCUUACGCGGAUUUGUUGGGUUUAAAGGGAGCGCAGGGGGGUUGUUAAGUAAGUUGUGAAAGUUUGCGGUUUAACCGGAGGAUUGAAAUGGAUACGGGGAGACUUGAGGGAAGAAGAGGAGAGUGGAACUCCAUGUGUAGCGGUGAAAGGAGUAGAUAUAGGGAAGAACACCAGUGGCGAAAGCGG